UUUUGUCCUGCCUGGAGUUUACUUCGUGGCAGUUGAUCGUUUUUACAACUUUAUUUACAUUUCGUCCCGCUUGGAGUUUACUUCGUGGCAGUUGAUCAUGUCCAUAUACAUAUAUUUACCGCUUUUAUAUAUUUACAUUUCCGAUCCCCAAUGGAGUUGCUUCGUGGUGGUUGAUCAUGUCUGUAUAUAUAUAUUUACAGCUUUUAUAUAUAUGACUGCUUACUGCUUUCCAUACAAAUUGCAGUAUCAUGUGAGCCUAGGAAUCAUGUGAUCACAGGUUCAGUUUACUGAAUCUAGAUUCGGUUCCCAUGAUGGACAUUUUUGAGUUGUAAACAGCUUGUACAUUAUUUUACAGUGUCUGAAUUUCCUUGGAUGGCUGUCAUGCCCAUGAGGAGUUCGGCACUGCUGUAUAUUAUUUUCUCGAGAAUGCUUCGCAUCUCGAAAAUUAAAGCAAACAAGCCGGAUAUUUAAUAAUAAAAUGGAAGUACCAAAGGCCUCAAUUACUAUUGAGCAAAGGGUUUGAAAAACCUCUUUUACAAAAUGUCAUUGCCAUAUCUUGUUUAAAACUGAAUUUUUCUAUAAAUUCAAACCCUAUGUAUAUAGGUGCGAAUGAGGUAUAGCACUACUUCCAAAUAAUUGCACAUUGAUCCACACACACACACAUUCAUAUAACGAUUUCUUUGAAAAGUGGCGGUCACCGUGGUAACACGAAUGUUGGGGGGUGCCUAACACCUUCCCUCCGCAUAAUCAAGCCCCCGGACCCAAAAUGAAUCUCGGUUUCACAGACCCGUUUAGCAGUGUCAAAUCAUUGGGUCAAUGUGCAAGGCUUUUCAGUUGCGUUGGUGCAACCAGUUAAAUACACCAACUGGCGACUCUUAAAGUCCAAUCGUCGAC
rnacentral:lncRNA from 1 species